rnacentral:ncRNA from 1 species
UGCAGCGCCCAAUCCCGGGUGCUGGCGGACGAGGGAGCAGUACCCGCAGCGACAAGACUGACUCGUC